rnacentral:rRNA from 1 species
AUUGAACGCUGGCGGCAGGCCUAACACAUGCCAGUCGAGCGGAGGAAGGGAGCUUGCUCCUGGAUUCAGCGGCGGACGGGUGAGUAAUGCCUAGGAAUCUGCCUGGUAGUGGGGGAUAACGUCCGGAAACGGGCGCUAAUACCGCAUACGUCCUGAGGGAGAAAGUGGGGGAUCUUCGGACCUCACGCUAUCAGAUGAGCCUAGGUCGGAUUAGCUAGUUGGUGGGGUAAAGGCCUACCAAGGCGACGAUCCGUAACUGGUCUGAGGAUGAUCAGUCACACUGGAACUGAGACACGGUCCAGACUCCUACGGGAGGACGCAGUGGGGACUAUUGGACAAUGGGCGAAAGCCUGAUCCAGCCAUGCCGCGUGUGUGAAGAGGGUCUUCGGAUUGUAAAGCACUUUAAGUUGGGAGGAAGGGCAGUAAGUUAAUACCUUGCUGUUUUGACGUUACCAACAGAAUAAGCACCGGCUAACUUCGUG